UACGAAGGGGGCUAGCGUUGCUCGGAAUUACUGGGCGUAAAGGGCGCGUAGGCGGAUAGUUUAGUCAGAGGUGAAAGCCCAGGGCUCAACCCUGGAAUUGCCUUUGAUACUGGCUAUCUUGAGUUCGGGAGAGGUGAGUGGAACUCCGAGUGUAGAGGUGAAAUUCGUAGAUAUUCGGAAGAACACCAGUGGCGAAGGCGACUCACUGGCCCGAUACUGACGCUGAGGCACGAAAGCGUGGGGAGCAAACAGGG
rnacentral:rRNA from 1 species